CGGGAUAGCUCAGCUGGUAGAGCAGAGACUGAAUA
rnacentral:tRNA from 1 species